CAGCUUUCAAAAACAUUUGGAAAAAAAAAUACGGGGGAAAAACAAUAACCCCAGUACUCAACUGCAUAGAGUCUGUGAGUCCUAAGUCUGUGUAUUUUCUACGUGUUUAGGAAUGGAGUGCAAGUUCCCUUUUUUCCUUAACCAUUUAUGUGUUACACACACAUGCACACACUCAUUCAGUCAUUCUUUCAUCUUGUUUGCUUUUAAAGACUGUCUCCUCAUUCUCUUGGUUUCUUGGACACAAAUGAGCGGGCUGGAGUUCCCAUUUUGGCUCAUGUUAAAAACCUAACACAGUGUCCAUGAGGAUUUGUUUCCUGGCCUCCCUCGGAGGGUUAAUGAUCUGGCUUUACCACAAGUUGCGGCACAGGUUGCAGAUGCUGCUCAGAUCUGGGGUUGCUGUGGCUGUGGCCUUGGCUGUGGCGUAGUCUAGCAGCUGCAGCUCAUAUUUGACCCCUAGCCUGGGAACUUCCAUAUGCCACGGAUGCAGUCAUAUAAAAGAAAAAAAAAUGAGUGGCACGUGACAUGUGCUCCUUUCCAGGCUUUUGUCCAUAUGUGUAUGACGUUUCAUAGUUGCAUCAUACUGUGUAUACAAUUUCCUAUCCUUUUUUGGGAGGGGCAUGUAAUAUAAAACCAUAAGCACUAUUUCCAUGUUGCUGCAUAACCUUUGUAAUUCAGUCUAGGGAGUUUUGGUGUCUAACAGAUCUGGGGGCAGACGUACUAAUAUCAUUUAGUAGUUGUAUUACCUUGGAGGAUUAACCAGUCCGGGAAUCACUGUAUCCCUAAAAUAGGGUUAACAGUAUUUGCCUUGUGCUGUCAGGAGAAAUAAAUGAGUUAUGGGAUGCAAAAUCUUGAUUCUGGCUUGUACUAAAUAUCCAAUAAAUUUUAGCAAAAAAUAACCUUCACAAAAUAUAAAUGUUUAGAUGGUACACUAUCUAUCCCAUGAAGCAGAAAAUGGAAGUUAUAUUUGAAAUAUAAUCGCUGUAGCAUAUGAUGAAAUGCUUAUUGAGCACCUAAAAUCUUGUUUAAGUCCAGUUUGGCAACAUAAACUUAUAUCAAAUCAUCAUGUUGAACACCUUAAAUGUGCAUAACAUUUUCGGUCAAACGUAUCUCAGUAAAGCUGGAAAGGUAAUUCCAGUUUCAGCCACUUGAUUCUGAAACUCAUCUAUUGUCCCAGAGGGCAGUGGCCUAAUUACAGCCCUUUCACUGUUCAGUCUCUCUGUAUUCUUUCCUUCCUUCACUCUGGAUACACAUUGCUCCUAAUAAAAAUAUUCACCUGCUGGCCUUUAUGUUUACAUUGAGAAUAUUCAUGGGCUGCUCCCUAGGUAUUUGUGUGAUAGUCAAUAUUGCAUGCAAUGUGAAAUAGAAUUUCAGGACGUUUGCAUAACAGGAAAAUAAGUGAUUAAGCACCCAAUAAAUGAAUAGAGGCUUUGCAGAGAUCAAACAUUUGUUAAUGAAGAAGUUGUCAACAUUACAAGUUCUGUUUGAUUUCUUGUAUUACUUGUGAAACCAAGGAAACAGGAAGAAUGAAUUCUGCUGAUCACUGCAGAGAGAGAGAAGUGUUUUAGCCAGAGGUUUUUUUUUUUGUUUGUUUGUUUGUUUGUUUUACUAAAGGUCUGGUUGGGCUUUGUUUUGUUUUGCUUUGAAAAGGGAAAGAGUGUUACAACUGGGAUAAUAUAUUGGGCAAAGUGCUUAACUGUAGCCUGGAGAAUCCACCUUUGCAAAUUUGAGCAGAAAAGCAAUUGGUGAGAGGAUAUUAGGUAGUUCACGGAACUGGUAGGGUCUGAUGAUCCAACAAUAAAUCUGAACAUCCAUGAGCAAUAGCCAACCACUCUUUCCUAAGCAGAAAUACCACUGACACUAGCUCAUGUCACUUAUGAUGCUCAGGACUAGAUUCCAGAAACACUGCCACUCCCUGCCCCCCAAGAACGGGAUCCUUCCACCACCUGGCUUGACAAAAGAGCAGUAUUCCUAGGAACACCUGCCUCCCAGGGUUCCCUUCAGAUCUGUCUCCCAAGGAUAGCCUGAUUAGAAGAAGCUGGGUCGUGCCUGCCCCCUAAUGCAGGGAAUCUGGGAAUACAGGUUUCCUGGCUUCCUCUUUGGGAAGGUGAGACAUGCAAUGUGGGGAAUUAUCAUAAUGUCCAGAAAGUGCUCAGACAUGGCAGGUAGCUCAAGUGAUGAAUGUGCAAUACAGGCUUAGUUAUUUUGAGUGUUCUAUUUACUCUUAUUGUGGAUUUCUGUGCGUUUGGAUAAAUUUCCUGCUACCAAAUACUUUUCAGCUCUCUUCACAUUCCUCAAAGCCCAGGAUUGUUCAAACCCUUUGCUGCCACAAAGACAACUUGCCAUUCAUGAAACAUGGGCCUUGCUUCCCCCAUUCCUCCCCUCACCAGCAUACCCAGUGUUAACACGGAAUAUUGAGGUGAUGGAGAUAAAACUGACAAAAAAAAAUUGUGUGUGUGUAAGAAUGAGAUAUCACAUAUUGCCAUGGAGGAACUUAUGACCUCAUUUCUGGUUUAUGGUUAGAUAUUAUUAUAACAAAAGAAAAAGGAGUAAACUGUUUCUUAGAAAUUUGAUGGCAGAAGAGGGAAAUAGGCUAGAUAGGUAAGAUAAUUAGAAAAUGUCUCAUAAUGCAAGAAAAAUAUUUGUUUCUACCAUUAUUAGGCAUGUGUGUCUAAGGCAGAAUGCUAAUUACUCUAAUUGGAAAUAUAAUGAUUAAAAUGGUCAUUGUUUCCAAAUAAUAACUGUAGUUGGGAGAAAAACAAGUCUGUCUUUCAGUAGUAUAUUUAGACACCUUAUCAAUCUUUGACAUUCAAGGAAAGAAGGAUUUAAUAUGUUCUGUUAAGUCUAAUUGUAGGCCAAAUAAUUAGUGUAUGGAGAGAAUUAAUGAAGAUAUGCCAAGGUAAUCACAAUGUUUGAAUAACUGAUUUUACUAAUGAUGAAUUUCUUACUGAAUCAUUUGUAUGCACUGAAAGAAUCCUAAUACUGUUUAAUAAAAUUUAUACCAUCUUUUAAUAUUAUAUAGUAUAUUUUUUGGAUAAAAUAUAGAAAUAUAGAUAAG
rnacentral:lncRNA from 1 species